CAGUCGCCACGGGAAUACGAAGGGUGCAAGCGUUACUCGGAAUUACUGGGCGUAAAGCGUGCGUAGGUGGUGGUUUAAGUCCGUUGUGAAAGCCCUGGGCUCAACCUGGGAAUUGCAGUGGAUACUGGGUCACUAGAGUGUGGUAGAGGAUAGUGGAAUUUCCGGUGUAGCAGUAAAAUGCGUAGAGAUCGGAAGGAACAUCUGUGGCGAAGGCGACUAUCUGGGCCAACACUGACACUGAGGCACGAAAGCGUGGGGAGCAAACAGGAUUAGAUACCCCCGUAGUCCCUGUCUCUUAUAA
rnacentral:rRNA from 1 species